rnacentral:rRNA from 1 species
CAGUCGCCGCGGGAAUACGAAGGGGGCUAGCGUUGUUCGGAUUUACUGGGCGUAAAGCGCACGUAGGCGGACUUUUAAGUCAGGGGUAAAAUCCCGGGGCUCAACCCCGGAACUGCCUUUGAUACUGGAAGUCUUGAGUAUGGUAGAGGUGAGUGGAAUUCCGAGUGUAGAGGUGAAAUUCGUAGAUAUUCGGAGGAACACCAGUGGCGAAGGCGGCUCACUGGACCAUUACUGACGCUGAGGUGCGAAAGCGUGGGGAGCAAACAGGAUUAGAUACCCCAGUAGUCCCUGUCUCUUAUAA